rnacentral:rRNA from 1 species
AUGUCGUGGUGGAAGUCCAAGUCGCACUUCAGCGCCGACAGCCAGGACUCGAGCUCCGACGACGCGUACCGCGGAGGCAAGGACCGCUCGCCGUCGCGUCGCAAGAAGUCCGACGAAGACGAGGAGGAGUACCGCCCAUACGCAGGCUACGGCGGUGGCGGUGGCUCGUACAGCAACGGCAACGGCGGUAUCACGCCCUACAACGGCGGCGGUGGCGGCUACAACAGCAACUCUUCCUACGGCAACGGCGGCGGUGGCUACAACAACAACUCCUCCUACGGCAACGGCGGCGGCGACGGGUACAACAACGCUCCCAGCUGGGCUUCCCAGGACCCCGCCGGCCGGACUCCGAUGUACAUAAACACCAGGGAGGUCCACGUCUAUGGGGCGCCACAGAACGACGACGACUACAACGGCGACCAGAAGAGGCGUGGCGGCGGCGGCGGGGGCAGCGGGUUCUUCGGUCCGGCCUUCCAUGCGGUCGGCCAUUUCGUCGAUCGCAGGUUCGGCCUCGACGACAGGAACUGA